rnacentral:lncRNA from 1 species
CACGCUUUUCGUAGAAACGUGAUUAGUUUAUCAUUAUUAAAUGAUGAUAUAAAUAUAUAUAGUAAUAACCGUUAUAAUGAAUUUAUUUUAUAAAUUAUCGAGUCACGUUGUGGAGUUACCAUCCGCUGUUUGGUACACUGUUUUAAAAGAACGUUUCAGUACAGUAAAAAUGUUAACUUAUGAGGAUGCGAUAUAUGCUUUGAAUGGACUACAGAGUAAUUCUUCUGUUUUGGAAAAGGCGCGAAAAGAAAAUAAUAAUAAAAACGCAAUUAUAAAACUUAACAAAACUGAAGAAUUUCUUAACGUGCUUAGUAUAACAGUAAGCAAAAAGUAUUUAUUUAAAUAAUAUUGUAAUUAAAAUUUUUAAUGUAUUUUUUUUAAACCGU